rnacentral:rRNA from 1 species
UACGAAGGGUGCAAGCGUUACUCGGAAUUACUGGGCGUAAAGCGUGCGUAGGUGGUUGUUUAAGUCUGUCGUGAAAUCCCCGGGCUCAACCUGGGAAUGGCGAUGGAUACUGGCGAGCUAGAGUGUGUCAGAGGAUGGUGGAAUUCCCGGUGUAGCGGUGAAAUGCGUAGAGAUCGGGAGGAACAUCAGUGGCGAAGGCGGCCAUCUGGGACAACACUGACGCUGAAGCACGAAAGCGUGGGGAGCAAACAGG